AGGCCUUGACAUCCUCGGAACUUUCUAGAAAUAGAUUGGUGCCUUCGGGAACGCAGUGACAGGUGCUGCAUGGCUGUCGUCAGCUCGUGUCGUGAGAUGUUGGGUUAAGUCCCGCAACGAGCGCAACCCUUAUCAUUAGUUGCUAACAUUUAGUUGAGAACUCUAAUGAGACUGCCGGUGAUAAACCGGAGGAAGGCGGGGACGACGUCAAGUCAUCAUGGCCCUUAUGGGAUGGGCUACACACGUGCUACAAUGGGGGGUACAAAGAGCAGCCAACUGGCAACAGUGCGCGAAUCUCAUAAAACCUCUCGUAGUCCGGAUCGGAGUCUGCAACUCGACUCCGUGAAGUCGGAAUCGCUAGUAAUCGUGAAUCAGAAUGUCACGGUGAAUACGUUCCCGGGCCU
rnacentral:rRNA from 1 species